rnacentral:lncRNA from 1 species
AUGCAGCGAGUCUAGGAAGGGAGUGGCUCUUUGCUAAAUGAUAGUAGGCUGGGGAUAUUUUUAAAAUCCUCCCACCAACCUGCCAAAUCACAGGAUGGAGUUACUCAGUGUCUCCUUUCCAUUGAAUGUUUUGCCACAUGCAAACUUUCCUCUUCUGUCUCAGUGUACUGUGUUUUGCUAGGCUUACUUGCAAAGGUUAAAAGAAUGGAGUGUACUGGAGUCAGGAAAGCUCAGUGUCUGUUGGAGGUGAAGUCACCAGCAUUGCAUUUCUCCACCAGUCACAACUGAUAAGUUCAAAACCACAUCAGGUGAGUUUAUUGUACCCUUGACUUGAAAUGUGAAAGUCAAUUCAUGUGCAAUCACAUAUCCCUGUAAAACCUCUUCCUUGUCAAAUCACAUGUCACUAAUGAGUUUUUAACUGUGAGCUUGGCUAUUUAAAUUGUCAAAUUUCUUCUGCAU